rnacentral:rRNA from 1 species
UCUGUCGAAUAAAAUUCUAGGUAGAAUUAUGAUAAUGACAUUGUCUGCCUAUGUGUCUUGACCAAAUUACGUGCCAGCAGUCGCGGUAAUACGUAGAAGACUAGUGUUAUUCAUCUUUAAUAGGUUUAAAGGGUACCUAGACGGUAAAUCAAGCCUGCAAUAUGGGACUAAUGUACUAGAGUUACUUACGAGGGGGUAUUAAAGUACUGCUGGUGUAGAGAUGAAAUUCUGUCAUACCUCAUUUCAUAAGAAAUACUAUGGCACAGGUAUAGGCGAAAGCAUCCCCUUAUGUGAUAACUGACGUUGAAGGACGAAGGCUUUGUGUAGCGAACAGGAUUAGAUACCCCAGUAGUCAAAGCAGAAAAUGAUGAAUGUCAUAGAUUAGACAUAUAAUAGUUUAUUCUAUAAAUGAAAGUGUAAGCAUUCCACCUCAAGAGUAAUUUGGCAACAUUGGAACUGAAAUCAUUAGACCGUUUCUGAAACCAGUAGUGAAGUAUGUUGUUUAAUUUGAUAAUCCGCAAAAAACCUUACCACAAUUUGAAUAUUUAGAUUUUUGUUUCUUUUUUAUUUUUUUUGUGUUUGUGUUGCGUUGCAUUACGUUACGUUAGCAUCAAAAAUAAAAAUAACAAGAAGGGAAGAGAAAUCCAUUUACAAGCGUUGCACGGCUGUCUUCAGUUAAUGUCGUGAGAUUAUGGUUAGUUCCAUUAAUUAAC